AAAUACAUUUGGUAAAAUACAUUUUGUAUCCCAGACCUUGUUCUAACUCAAUGGAAAGGAAUGAAAGGUUUAAAUUCACACAUUUCCCCCCUAAUGAAACCAGCUGUAGAAAAGACACACAAAAGCACACAACAAUUAUCUUCACUUUCAUUUCCUUUGGUUAGAGACUGUGUGAACAUGAUACGGUCUCACUCAAAAGGUGCUUCAGCAUUGACAUUUGGAUGACAAAGCUGCUCUGAGACUCAGUGCUAGGCUGCCACUGCCACUGAGGAAUUCCUCCUCACACAGCGCCGCAUUGUUGCCUGUUCACAUCAGUACAACAAAAUCUCAUUAAACAAUAUAAUAAAAAUCAUGUACUCCAGGACCAUAUGAUUAUGUUAUCCCCAACA